GCUCAGUCCUGAAUCUGAGGCUACUCGGUUUAUUUUAUCUGGAGUUGACAGGCCUUGCUUAAAAGUCCAGUGGAUCAAUGACUAUAAAGGACGUGGUGUAUUUACCAAUGAACUAAUUGAAAAGGGAUCCUUUGUGUUGGAGUACCGUGGGGAGUUAAUCUCACAGUAUGAACGGGAGAAGAGGCAGAAAAAGUACACAGAAAAACAAAAUUCUUUCCUCUUUGAUUUUGAAUGGAAUGGUAGCACGUGGUGCAUUGAUGCCUCACGUGAAGAUGACUCAAUGGGCCGAUUGGCGAAUGAUGCUAAUAAAGGCCCAAACUGCAGAAUGAAAAAGUUGACCAUAAAGGGUAAACCACAUCUUUGCUUGUUUGCUCUUGAAAACAUCCAAGCAGG